ACGAACGCUGGCGGUGUGCUUAACCCCUGCAAGUGGUGCGACGAACCAGAGCUUGCUCUGGGGCAAAGCCGCGAACGGGUGAGUAACACGUGGGUAAUCUACCCCGAUGACCGGGACAACCCGAGGAAACUCGGGCUAAUACCGGAUGUGGUGCGGAGACAUAAGUCUCUUCACUAAAGGUAGCUUCGGCUUCCGCAUUGGGAGGGGCCCGCGGCCCAUUAGCUUGUUGGUGGGGUCAAGGCCUACCAAGGCAACGAUGGGUAGCUGGUCUGAGAGGACGAUCAGCCACACUGGGACUGAGACACGGCCCAGACUCCUACGGGAGGCAGCAGUGGGGAAUCUUGCGCAAUGCGCGAAAGCGUGACGCAGCAACACCGCGUGAGGGAAGAAGGCCUUAGGGUUGUAAACCUCUUUCAGAUGGGACGAAGGUUCUCCGGUGAAUAGCCGAGAGGAUUGACGGUACCGUCAGAAGAAGCUCCGGCUAACUACGUG
rnacentral:rRNA from 1 species